rnacentral:lncRNA from 1 species
CCAGAAGCCCUUACCUGUCUGUCAACAUCGUCUCAUCCAUCAACCACCAUCCCCUCUGCGGGGUGUUUCUCAUUCAUUCAUGUAUUCAUUCUUCAGCAAAUGAUUGCUGAGAGCCUACUGUGUGGUGGCUGUUUUGCUGGUGGAUUCUCCCGAGAGUAGACACACUGUCUGUGGUGGAUUUGUAUUGACGGACACUUUGGUAAACUGAGGCUGCACAGGAAGCCAGGUGAGGAAUCCUUUUCGGGAGCUGACGCAUACACUGGUCUGCACUUGAUACAGAUCUACACAAGAGCUGGCGCGAGCAAAACGCCUUGGGGAGGUGAGAGUCUCGGUGAGGUUGGAGGACUGACCCGGAAGCUGUGUGUCAAGAGGGUGAAGGGCAGAGGGUGGCUACACAGGCCUGAGCUGCGGCUCGGUCUUUAACCACAGUGUGAAAUCACUGGUGGAUUAGGAACAGUAGAGAGGCUGAUUUGCAUAUUAAAAAGAUUGCCCAGCUGCUGGGUGAAGACUGCCUUUUAAAGGCGCAAAAAUAGAAAUAGGAAGACCAGCUAGGGAGGGAGCGGUUCAGCAACGCAGACAGGAAAUAAUCACUGUUAUUAUCUGCAGUCCUCCAGAGGAGCUCACAGCAGGUAGGAACGCCGCGUGCUCGUUUGCGGAGUGAAUUUGCGGAGUGAAAGUUCCAUGUCACCAAACAGAACAUGAGCUGUGGUCAGACCUUCCAAGAAAACAGCAGAAACGAGGAACGGCAGCCAAGUUUCCCAUGCAGGCCAGUUCCAGUUGGCAAGAUGCUGAAGUACCCCCCCCCCAUGUAUUGGGGAGAAGGCUCCAUGUGGCAGACAGUGAAGCAGAGGUUUCCUCUGCAGCUGCCCUCUCUCAGGCUGCUGCCUGGGCCCCAAACCCCGCAAGCAAAGCUGGCAGAAGAUGGCUGCCAACAAGCUCCACUGCAAAGAGAGUCGCUGUGAAGGCAUGUUUGGAGGCAGAGAAUAUUAUUCAAGGCAGUAAGAAUAUACAGAAGCUGGAGAGACGGCUCAGCGGUUAAGAGCACUGACUACUAUUCCAGAGAUCCUGAGUUCAAAUCCCAGCAACUACAUGGUGGCUCACAAUCAUCUAUAAUGAGAUCUGAUUCUCUCUUCUGGGAUGUCUGAAGAAAGCUACAGUGUACUUACAUAUAAUAAAUAAAUUAAUUAAAAAAAAAAGAAUAUGCA